rnacentral:rRNA from 1 species
UGACACUGGUGCGCGAGAUGAGUAUUCUAAGGCGCUUGAGAGAACUCGGGAGAAGGAACUCGGCAAAUUGACACCGUAACUUCGGAAGAAGGUGUGCCCUAGUAGUGUGAAGUGAACAACGGAGCAUGAAUGGGUUGCAAAAAAUCGGUGGCUGCGACUGUUUAUUAAAAACACAGCACUCUGCAAACACGAAAGUGGACGUAUAGGGUGUGACGCCUGCCCGGUGCUGGAAGAUUAAAUGAUGGGGUGCAAGCUCUUGAUUGAAGUCCCAGUAAACGGCGGCCGUAACAAUAACGGUCCUAAGGUAGCGAAAUUCCUUGUCGGGUAAGUUCCGACCUGCACGAAUGGCGUAACGAUGGCCACACUGUCUCCUCCCGAGACUCAGCGAAGUUGAAAUGUUUGUGAUGAUGCAAUCUCCCCGCGGAAAGACGGAAAGACCCCAGGAACCUUUACUGUAGCUUUGUAUUGGACUUUGAACAGAUCUGUGUAGGAUAGGUGGGAGGCUUUGAAGCAGGGUCGCUAGAUCUUGUGGAGCCAACGUUGAAAUACCACCCUGGUGUGUUUGAGGUUCUAACCUAGGUCCAUUAUCUGGAUCGGGGACAGUGCAUGGUAGGCAGUUUGACUGGGGCGGUCUCCUCCCAAAGCGUAACGGAGGAGUUCGAAGGUACGCUAGUUACGGUCGGACAUCGUGACGAUAGUGCAAUGGCAUAAGCGUGCUUAACUGCGAGACUGACAAGUCGAGCAGAUGCGAAAGCAGGACAUAGUGAUCCGGUGGUUCUGUAUGGAAGGGCCAUCGCUCAACGGAUAAAAGGUACUCUGGGGAUAACAGGCUGAUACCGCCCAAGAGUUCAUAUCGACGGCGGUGUUUGGCACCUCGAUGUCGGCUCAUCUCAUCCUGGGGCUGUAGCCGGUCCCAAGGGUAUGGCUGUUCGCCAUUUAAAGAGGUACGUGAGCUGGGUUUAAAACGUCGUGAGACAGUUUGGUCCCUAUCUUCCGUGGGCGCUGCAGAUUUGAGGAAGCCUGCUCCUAGUACGAGAGGACCGGAGUGGACGCACCUCUGGUGUAUCGGUUGUCACGCCAGUGGCAUUGCCGAGUAGCUAUGUGCGGAAGAGAUAACCGCUGAAAGCAUCUAAGCGGGAAACUCGUUCCAAGAUGAGAUCUGCCGGGGCCUUGAGCCCCCUAAAGAGUCGUUCAAGACCAGGACGUUGAUAGGUCAGGUGUGGAAGCGCAGUAAUGCGUUAAGCUAACUGAUACUAAUUGCUCGUGCGGCUUGACCCU